CAUUGCAAGAGUGGAGUGGCAAAUGACUUUAACAAGGAAGAGUUUGGAUCAAAGAUGAGCAAGGGAACACUAACAGGUAAGUCAGUGGAAAGCAUAAGCGAUAGAAGUAGUUUGCUGUUAACACCUUCAACUAAGGAGGAAAAUGCUGUUGCUGGUCCAAACUUAACGCAGAGCUCCAGUUCUGACUUGCGUCACACAAAGCAGAAAAAGAUACAGAAUUCCCC